UGGGCGCUGGAACAAAUCUCCCGCAGAUAUCACCUCCCCCGAUUUCUCCCCUUUUCUUCUUUCUUUUCCUUCCCCACGAAGCCUUGAAACCCACACCGAUCUCUCUCUCUCUGCCCACGCGACCACAUUUCUUCUCCCCUGCUUUUCGGCAGCCGCCGCCCCUUUGUCCACAAAAUCCACAUCGCCUUGAGUGGGGUUCGCCGUGAGGCACUUCGGAUGAGAUGCGCGCUGCCGGGAAGGUCGUCCUGUGCUGAUCCGCCGCCGCCUCUUUCCCCGGAAAAUCUACAUCGCCGUCCUGCCCGUUGCGGACAGGAGAGCGGGGUGGUGGCGAGGGGGAGAGGCGGGUUGAUUGGGCGGCGCCGCGUCGCAGUGUUUGAGGUGGCUAGAGGAGGGCGGCGCUGCGUCGCUGUGUUUGAGGUGGCUAGAGGAGGGUAAACUCCUCUCCCACUGCGGAACAGUCCACGGUGCCGUCACCGUCGUCCUGAUUCCUUGGACGCCACCGACGCAAGCGACAAGAGAAGCUCGGCUUGUGGCGGAGGCGGGUAUUGCUGGAGCAGAGGCGCCCUUCGUUUUUCGUCCUCUUGUUCGUGGGAAGGCGUCGGAUGAGGAAGUAUGAGAACGGGCGAAAAAGGAGAUGGGGAAGGGUGGCGUGUUAUGGGACGCCUUGGACCACCCCGUCGCCACCUACAAGGACAGGUAACAGUAAAUCAGACGGUCCAGCGAUGAUGUAAAACGAGGAGCUCAUCGUAGCCGUCAGAUGUUGAUGAAGCUGUAUGUCCCGGAAGAGCUACACCUAACUGAAGAUAGGUGCAGCCUGACAUGGCGUUCUGGUACUCCUCACUGAGAUCCCUCAAGCUACAUCAUUGAUAAUUGAACAUGUAUUUAAUUAGAUAAUUCAGUUAACCAGUGUGCAUCUACUUAAUUCGGUUAUACUAUAUGUACUAAUUCAUGCAAAGAAGGGACUAAUUGUUGACAAACAUACCUGCCAUGCAUAUAUCAUACUAUGCCUUGGAAAAUAAUUUUGUUUUGUGCAUUUUUUAUGCAUGCCAUGCAUAUAUCAUGUGAAUGAUUGAACAAGUUUAGUUAAUAAGAUCUUAUCUGUUGGAGACUUGGAGUCAACUGCACCAGAUUUACAGUAACAAGCGCUAGCUUCUACUAAAAAAAUGAGGUGUUCAUAGUCACAUAAUGUUUCAUAGAUUCACUACAAAACUGUAAGUUAUGAACUUAUGCUCGCUCAUAUAAAUCUGCUCAUGCACGAAUGUCUGCUGAAUUAAUUAAUAUAAGCUAGCAGCUGCCACGCGUGUACAUGCAUGUUGUUAUCAGCAAUUCAGCAUCGACCUGUCUGAAUAAUGAGCUUGAAUAUAAUCUCGUAAUAAGAACAAAGUGAGUUUACUAAAUGCAUGGUUUAUUUUGCCGACAGAUUAGCACACAGUUAACUUGAUCCACAACAAAAAAUGCGAUGACAUGCAUGUUCGACAAGAAGACGAUCAACACCACUCUCCCUAAACAGAUCGUAAGAUCACACUAAGAGGUAGAAGACCCCAUGCUAGAAAAAAUACAGAUUCAGUUCUUACUUAGGAAGGAACAAUCAACGACAUACUAAUUAAAUAGCUGCUGGUAGAUCCAUUUCUCCAAAGUACUCAAAAAAAAGAAGUUGUAAUUUGAUGGAAUAAUUAACUAUGUUCUCUUUUAUUUCUCGAAUCAUGUCUGUUCGCACAAGUACUAUGUA